UACGUAGGGGGCUAGCGUUGUCCGGAUUUAUUGGGCGUAAAGAGCGUGUAGGCGGCCAGGUAGGUCUGCUGUGAAAACUCGAGGCUCAACCUCGAGACGUCGGCGGAAACCAUCUGGCUAGAGUCCGGAAGAGGAGAGUGGAAUUCCUGGUGUAGCGGUGAAAUGCGCAGAUAUCAGGAGGAACACCUAUGGCGAAGGCAGCUCGCUGGGACGGUAUUGACGCUGAGACGCGAAAGCGUGGGGAGCGAACAGG
rnacentral:rRNA from 1 species